UAAUACAUGCAAGUCGAACGAGUUUUGGUCGAUGAACGGUGCUUGCAUUGUGAUUCAACUUAAAACGAGUGGCGGACGGGUGAGUAACACGUGGGUAACCUGCCCUUAAGUGGGGGAUAACAUUUGGAAACAGAUGCUAAUACCGCAUAAAUCCAAGAACCGCAUGGUUCUUGGCUGAAAGAUGGCGCAAGCUAUCGCUUUUGGAUGGACCCGCGGCGUAUUAGCUAGUUGGUGAGGUAACGGCUCACCAAGGCGAUGAUACGUAGCCGAACUGAGAGGUUGAUCGGCCACAUUGGGACUGAGACACGGCCCAAACUCCUACGGGAGGCAGCAGUAGGGAAUCUUCCACAAUGGACGCAAGUCUGAUGGAGCAACGCCGCGUGAGUGAAGAAGGCUUUCGGGUCGUAAAACUCUGUUGUUGGAGAAGAAUGGUCGGCAGAGUAACUGUUGUCGGCGUGACGGUAUCCAACCAGAAAGCCACGGCUAACUACGUGCCAGCAGCCGCGGUAAUACGUAGGUGGCAAGCGUUAUCCGGAUUUAUUGGGCGUAAAGCGAGCGCAGGCGGUUUUUUAAGUCUGAUGUGAAAGCCCUCGGCUUAACCGAGGAAGCGCAUCGGAAACUGGGAAACUUGAGUGCAGAAGAGGACAGUGGAACUCCAUGUGUAGCGGUGAAAUGCGUAGAUAUAUGGAAGAACACCAGUGGCGAAGGCGGCUGUCUGGUCUGUAACUGACGCUGAGGCUCGAAAGCAU
rnacentral:rRNA from 1 species